AAGCCUACCUCGGGGUGGCGGAGCGUGAUCCGCCUGAGAUUUGCGUGACCGCAUCAACCCGUUGAACCUGAACCGGUUAGCACCGGCGGAGGGAAGGCAUGGCACGCUGCG
rnacentral:ncRNA from 2 species